rnacentral:rRNA from 1 species
GACGUAGGGAGCGAGCGUUGUCCGGAUUCAUUGGGCGUAAAGAGCGCGUAGGCGGCCGUGCAAGUCGGUUGUGAAAUCCCGGGGCUCAACCCCGGGACUGCGUCCGAUACUGCACGGCUCGAGGCAGGUAGGGGAGAGUGGAAUUCCCGGUGUAGCGGUGAAAUGCGCAGAUAUCGGGAGGAACACCGGUGGCGAAGGCGGCUCUCUGGGCCUGUCCUGACGCUGAGGCGCGAAAGCUAGGGGAGCGAACAGG